UACGUAGGGGGCAAGCGUUGUCCGGAUUUAUUGGGCGUAAAGAGCGUGUAGGCGGCUUGGUAGGUCCGCUGUGAAAACUCGAGGCUCAACCCCGAGCGGUCGUGGGAAACUGGUUGGCUAGAGUGCGGGAGAGGAGAGUGGAAUUCCUGGUGUAGCGGUGAAAUGCGCAGAUAUCAGGAAGAACACCCGUGGCGAAGGCGGCUCUCUGGAACGCAACUGACGCUGAGACGCGAAAGCGUGGGGAGCAAACAGG
rnacentral:rRNA from 1 species